ACCUGGCUGGUUCAGUCGGAGGAGCGUAUGACUCUUGAUCAUAAGGUUGGGAGUUCGAGCGCCACGUUGGGUA
rnacentral:tRNA from 1 species